GUUGUUUUCCUCUCAUGUAGCAUUUUUCCAGUGUGUGAAAAUCUCUGGCCUCAAAGCACACUUGUGGGAACCCAUAAUUGAGUCUGAGAUCAUCCAACAGCAGCAGAAAGCUCUUACAGCCCCGAGAGCCUCAGGGAGCCAGGAAGCUUACAGAACCUUGCUGAAAAACACGGGAUCUAUAGCUAAAUCCAGAAAGCCCCCGGAGACCAUUUGGACCAACCCCUCCCACAGGUUUCUCCCAGGAUGCGAUUUGUAAAUAAAUGAUCACAUGCUCUUUACUUGUGAAAGCAAUGAGAAUAUUCAAGAUUUGAGCUUCAGCUGGUUCUUGAUUAGGUUUGACAACUGCGUCCUAAAAUUCUCUUCCAUGAAGAAUGAAUGCAGUGUUUAUGGCAGACAACCAUCCUAGCCAAGAAAAAUUUGAAUAAUAAGAUACAGAAUGCCAAAUAUUCCAAUGUAAGGAUGGUCCUGAGAAAAAAGAUCCUUGGAAGUCUUUAGAGUGGUAAUCAUAUGCCAAUGUCCCUGCUGAGAGAUGGUAUAACCUCAUGUUGAACAGCUGCUGUUAGAGUGGUUAAAGCCCUGACCCCUGCCAUUCACUAUGGGAGAAGACAGCAACAGCUUUUCUGCCCCACUGGUGUUCUCUAGGGCUUUCUGACCCAGGUCCUCAUCAGCGCAGUCCCUAGCGUUGAGCCCAGCAACCCUAGGAUCAAGGCCUUGAAAGACAAGGUUUUGGGAUCUCCCAAAGGAGGCUGAUUUCACACAAAGGACCACGGACUGGUAGUCAGAAGACCUGAGUUCUGUUCCCAGCUCCAACACACAUUGCAGCAAGACCGUGGUCAAAUCACUUGCUGUUUCUGAGACUUAUUUUCUUGCUCUGUAAAAAUGAAUCAGUGAACUAAAUCAUCUGAAGUGAUCUCCCCUGACCAGCUCCCUCAGCCCUCACCAACAAAAAACUAAUGUCCAUGAUACAACACUAUUGCUAUUACAUUAUUCAAUUAAUCUUAGUGUGCUUAAUUGAAAGACAAUAAUAACUUUCUCCUAAAACUGGGGCAAAAACUGCAUUAGGUAAUUAACUAAACUGCUUGCCUAGAACAUAGCAGGUGUUCAAUAAUAGGUUUUUACUAUUUGCACUUAUUUGUUAAUGAGAAAGAGAACUAAAAUCUUGUAUUAAAAAGUUGUACUUUGGCUGGGUGCAGUGGCUUACACCUGUAAUCCCAGCACUUUGGGAGGCCAAGGCAGGCGGAUCACGAGGUUAGGAGAUCAAGACCAUCCUGGCUAUCAGGGUGAAACCCUGUCUCUACUAAAAAUACAAAAAAUUAGCUGGACAUCGUAGCAUAGCUGUAGUCCCAGCUACUUGAGAGGCUGAGGCAGAAGAAUGGUGUGAACCCGGGAGGCGGAGCUUGCAGUGAGCUAAGGUAGCGCCAUUGCACUCAAGCCUGGGCGAUAGAGCGAGACUCCAUCUCAAAAAAAAAGUUGUACUUUAGCCUUCCAGGAACUCGGAAAUUGAAGACAUAAGAGCUUGAUUACAGAAGAGGAGUCCAAAAGCAGUGACAGCUUUGUUAAGGGGUGGGCCUAGACCAGGCAAGAUGCUCAGCGUGGCUUGGAUUAAUGAAACAAGUCUCAGGCUAGAGGUCAAAGUAUCUUAGAGAUACUAUAAGUUCUGGAGGGUGGGGUUAAAAGUAACCCCCUACAGGGUCAAGUUUUUAGGCUUCCGAUAGGGUUUGGCUGUGUCCCUACCCAAAUCUCAUCUUGAAUUGUAACUCCCAUAAUCCCCACAUGUCACAGGUGGGACAAGUGGGAGGUAAUUGAAUCAUGGGGGUGAGUCUUUCCUGUGCUGUUCUUGGAUAGUGAAUAAGUCUCAGGAGAUAUGAUGGUUUUAUAAAGGGGAGCUCCCCUGCACAUGCCCUCUUGCCUGCUGCCAUGUAAGAUGUGACUUUGUUCUUCCUUUGCCUUCUGCCAUGAUUAUGAGGCCUCCCCAGCCAUGUGGAACUGUAAGUCAAUUAAACUUCUUUCCUUUGAAAAUUACCCAGUCUCAGAUAUGUCUUUAAUAGCAGUGUGAGAAUAGACUAAUACAGCUUCCCAAGAAAGAAGGCUUUUGUAUUGUCUGAUAUCUAUCUACCAUUGUAUCUAUAUUUCUAGCAGUAUGUUUCUGUAUAACUUAUAUAUAAAUAUAUUAGUAUUUAUUAUAUAUAAUAUAUAAAGUAUUUAUUCAUAUAAAUAUAUAAUUUUCCCAUCUCUCUAUCUCCAAAAGGCCCAAAUUUCUACCCAUCUCCCAUGUUUCUAAAUCUACUCUCCACAGCACUGACCAGGCUGAGCUCUUUGGCUGUAAUCAGUGGGUGUGAGCGAAGUAAAUUAGCAUUGCUAUAUUAUGAAAAAAAAAAUAAUUUUACAAUUAUAGAGCAACACUAUUCUCUCAAAACUCUCCCAACUUCCUCUUCUCCUGCCAAAACCAAAAACAACAUAAACACAUCCAAAACCUCACGCCUCACUUUGAUAAAAAUAGAAAUAGGCUUCACAAUGAUUAUACAUAACCAAUUAUUCUGGGUUUACCAUUUUUUAUUGUGCUAGAAAUGUUCUUUUUAUAGUCAAAUAAAGAUAAUUUUUGCAGCAUCCUCUAUUUCCCCAAAAAAACAAAACUGAUUGAGUCUGGGUUACAAAACAGAACCUGGGGGCUGUCUCGUUUUAUUUGUAAGCUUAGCAUAAGAAAUAAAAGCCAUGUGAUAUGCUCACACAUCUCAGGUUAGGAUUCUUUGAUCUGUGUAUGUUGGAUUUUAUAUACUC
rnacentral:lncRNA from 10 species